rnacentral:rRNA from 1 species
GUAAGCUACUAAGAGCGAAUGGUGGAUGCCUUGACUGGUAAAGGCGAUGAAGGACGUACUAGACUGCGAUAAGCUACGGGGAGCUGUCAAGAAGCUUUGAUCCGUAGAUUUCCGAAUGGGGCAACCCAAUGUAUAGAGAUAUACAUUACCUAUAUAGGAGCGAACGAGGGGAAUUGAAACAUCUUAGUACCCUCAGGAAAAGAAAUCAAUAGAGAUUGCGUCAGUAGCGGCGAGCGAAAGCGCAAGAGGGCAAACCCAGUGCUUGCACUGGGGGUUGUAGGACUGCAAUGUGCAAGAGGUGAGUUUAGCAGAACAUUCUGGAAAGUAUAGCCAUAGAGGGUGAUAGUCCCGUAUGCGAAAAACAAACCUUAGCUAGCAGUAUCCUGAGUAGGGCGGGACACGAGAAAUCCUGUCUGAAGCUGGGUCGACCACGAUCCAACCCUAAAUACUAAUACCAGAUCGAUAGUGCACAAGUACCGUGAGGGAAAGGUGAAAAGAACUGAGGUGAUCAGAGUGAAAUAGAACCUGAAACCAUUUGCUUACAAUCAUUCAGAGCACUAUGUAGCAAUACAGUGUGAUGGACUGCCUUUUGCAUAAUGAGCCUGCGAGUUGUGGUGUCUGGCAAGGUUAAGCAAACGCGAAGCCGUAGCGAAAGCGAGUCUGAAUAGGGCGCUUAGUCAGAUGCUGCAGACCCGAAACGAAGUGAUCUAUCCAUGAGCAAGUUGAAGCUAGUGUAAGAACUAGUGGAGGACUGAACCCAUAGGCGUUGAAAAGCCCCGGGAUGACUUGUGGAUAGGGGUGAAAGGCCAAUCAAACUUCGUGAUAGCUGGUUCUCUCCGAAAUAUAUUUAGGUAUAGCGUUGUGUCGUAAUAUAAGGGGGUAGAGCACUGAAUGGGCUAGGGCAUACACCAAUGUACCAAACCCUAUCAAACUCCGAAUACCUUAUAUGUAAUCACAGCAGUCAGGCGGCGAGUGAUAAAAUCCGUCGUCAAGAGGGAAACAACCCAGACUACCAGCUAAGGUCCCUAAAUCUUACUUAAGUGGAAAACGAUGUGAAGUUACUUAAACAACCAGGAGGUUGGCUUAGAAGCAGCCAUCCUUUAAAGAAAGCGUAAUAGCUCACUGGUCUAGUGAUUUUGCGCGGAAAAUAUAACGGGGCUAAAGUAAGUACCGAAGCUGUAGACUUGAUUUUAUCAAGUGGUAGGAGAGCGUUCUAUUUGCGCCGAAGGUAUACCGGUAAGGAGUGCUGGAGCGAAUAGAAGUGAGCAUGCAGGCAUGAGUAGCGAUAAUUAAUGUGAGAAUCAUUAACGCCGUAAACCCAAGGUUUCCUACGCGAUGCUCGUCAUCGUAGGGUUAGUCGGGUCCUAAGUCGAGUCCGAAAGGGGUAGACGAUGGCAAAUUGGUUAAUAUUCCAAUACCAACAUUAGUGUGCGAUGGAAGGACGCUUAGGGCUAAGGGGGCUAGCGGAUGGAAGUGCUAGUCUAAGGUCGUAGGAGGUUAUACAGGCAAAUCCGUAUAACAAUACUCCGAGAACUGAAAGGCUUUUUGAAGUCUUCGGAUGGAUAGAAGAACCCCUGAUGCCGUCGAGCCAAGAAAAGUUUCUAAGUUUAGCUAAUGUUGCCCGUACCGUAAACCGACACAGGUGGGUGGGAUGAGUAUUCUAAGGCGCGUGGAAGAACUCUCUUUAAGGAACUCUGCAAAAUAGCACCGUAUCUUCGGUAUAAGGUGUGGUUCGCUUCGUAUUAGGAUUUACUCCGAAAGCGAAGAAACUUACAACAAAGAGUCCCUCCCGACUGUUUACCAAAAACACAGCACUCUGCUAACUCGUAAGAGGAUGUAUAGGGUGUGACGCCUGCCCGGUGCUCGAAGGUUAAUUGAUGGGGUUAGCAUUAGCGAAGCUCUUGAUCGAAGCCCGAGUAAACGGCGGCCGUAACUAUAACGGUCCUAAGGUAGCGAAAUUCCUUGUCGGUUAAAUACCGACCUGCAUGAAUGGCGUAACGAGAUGGGAGCUGUCUCAAAGAGGGAUCCAGUGAAAUUGUAGUGGAGGUGAAAAUUCCUCCUACCCGCGGCAAGACGGAAAGACCCCGUGGACCUUUACUACAGCUUGACACUGCUAUUUGGAUAAGAAUGUGCAGGAUAGGUGGGAGGCUUUGAGUAUAUGACGCCAGUUGUAUAUGAGCCAUUGUUGAGAUACCACUCUUUCUUAUUUGGGUAGCUAACCAGCUUGAGUUAUCCUCAAGUGGGACAAUGUCUGGUGGGUAGUUUGACUGGGGCGGUCGCCUCCCAAAUAAUAACGGAGGCUUACAAAGGUUGGCUCAGAACGGUUGGAAAUCGUUCGUAGAGUAUAAAGGUAUAAGCCAGCUUAACUGCAAGACAUACAAGUCAAGCAGAGACGAAAGUCGGUCUUAGUGAUCCGGUGGUUCUGUGUGGAAGGGCCAUCGCUCAAAGGAUAAAAGGUACCCCGGGGAUAACAGGCUGAUCUCCCCCAAGAGCUCACAUCGACGGGGAGGUUUGGCACCUCGAUGUCGGCUCAUCGCAUCCUGGGGCUGGAGCAGGUCCCAAGGGUAUGGCUGUUCGCCAUUUAAAGCGGUACGCGAGCUGGGUUCAGAACGUCGUGAGACAGUUCGGUCCCUAUCUGCCGUGGGCGUAAGAAGAUUGAAGAGAUUUGACCCUAGUACGAGAGGACCGGGUUGAACAAACCACUGGUGUAGCUGUUGUUCUGCCAAGAGCAUCGCAGCGUAGCUAAGUUUGGAAAGGAUAAACGCUGAAAGCAUCUAAGCGUGAAGCCAACUCUAAGAUGAAUCUUCUCUAAGCUCUCUAGAAGACUACUAGUUUGAUAGGCUGGGUGUGUAAUGGAUGAAAGUCCUUUAGCUGACCAGUACUAAUAGAGCGUUUGGCUUAUCUUU